rnacentral:rRNA from 1 species
AAGUCGUAACAAGGUCUCCGUAGGGUGAGUUUUUGAACGACUUCUAACUAAUAUUGAAUGAAUGCUAACAGAUUUCCAGUGAACCCGCGGAUCUACUGUCGACCCGACCUCCAACCCUUUGUCGAUUUAACCUCUGUUGCCUCGGGGGCGACCCGCCGCGUCUAGGCGCCCCAGACGGACACCAUCGAAAACUCUGCAUCUCAUGCGUCGGAGUCAUUAAUGUGAAUCAAUCAAAACUUUCAACAACGGAUCUCUUGGUUCUGGCAUCGAUGAAGAACGCAGCGAAAUGCGAUAAGUAAUGUGAAUUGCAGAAUUCAGUGAAUCAUCGAAUCUUUGAACGCACAUUGCGCCCCUGGCAUUCCGGGGGGCAUGCCCGUUCGAGCGUCAUUACACCAACUCAAGCCUGGCUUGGUAUUGGGCGUCGGGAUGCACCCGCGCCUCUAUGUUUGUUCGGCUGGACGGUUGGAAUCUCAGCGUUGUGCAAUCAAUCCGCUGUGGGACCUGACUGGACGCGCCGUGAAAAUCUCAUCACAGGUUGACCUCGGAUCGGGUAGGGAUACCCGCUGAACUUAA